GUUGUUUUUUGUGUACUUAAAAAACACAUUUGGAUAUGAUGCAUCUCCCCUUUUUAUUCUUUUGUCUGCUUUAGAUGCUAGUUGUAGUAGUUUCUUGUAAGAAGGGUACAGUUGGGACUUCCUUUCUAUGAAAUGCAGUGAUAGAAAGGAUGUAAUGUUCUUGUGCUGCAGUGUUCUGUUUGUAUGGUGUUGGGUUACUGUUUACUCUGCCAUUUGGACCUACAAUAAUUUUUCUUGCUUUUCAGUUUCAUCUGAUUAGAACACAUCUUCAAAAACCAAAUAAGAACUCAAAGCAGGAUGUAUUCAGCAAGGUCCUCAGUCAGCUCUUAGUCCAUGCUGACCAUGGCCUGGGUUCCAUGCUUCCACCUCUGAAAAGGAGCACUACUGAAACAUCACAUUUCCUCGUGAUCCUUCCAUCAGUGAUAAUAUCCCCAGUUAUGACUACACUUGAACCUCAAGGGGAGCAUGAAGGAAAUAUAAUUCCUGUAUUUGGCCUGGAGGACAGAGAGAAAUCAGAAGAUGCUGCUUGUAACAGGUUUGCUGCAGGACCAAGUCAUUGUGAUGUACCUACUGGGAAGAGCAACCUCAAAGAAGGAGAUGACCCCCCAGCGGCGGCACCAGGGGGGCAAGCUUCUCCAAGCCAUCAAGCUCAGGAGGAGACAACAAAACUUCAGUUUACAGAAAGUGAGAGAGUCAUGUCUGCAACAAGUAAGAGAGUACUGGAGUUCUUAGAAACCAGCCAUCGGGAAGACUCUGAGGCCAUACAGAGCAUGGAAACCCAACUGAGGGGCAUGGGGGUAGCCUCAGUUAUCAUCCAUAAACAGCUGGAAGCAAUAGUUAAUCUCCUCAGCCAGCCUCCAAGGCUUGUCCCUGCACAGCCAGAUAGCUCCUUCUCUGCCACACCCUGUGUAGAAAAGGUAGAUGUGAUCCAGAGAGUGAGUUGCUCUUUGGAAUCAUAAGAGAUGGCUCCUGCCUGGUGUAGCUCUCGCUUGCAGAGAGUGGCAAUGGAACAAGCCUUGUUAUCAGUCAUCAUGGCUAGGGAGGGAAGAAGAGAGCAUGUGGGGCUUAAUCUAAAUAUGGUAUCUUGUAUCUCUUAUAAUGCUGUAAAUGUUUUAUUGGUCAAGAUUUUAAAGAAUAACAAUCC
rnacentral:lncRNA from 1 species